UACGUAGGUGGCAAGCGUUGUCCGGAUUUACUGGGCGUAAAGAGCGCGCAGGCGGUCGUUCAAGUCGCGUGUGAAAGCCCCCGGCUCAACUGGGGAGGGUCAUUCGAUACUGAUCGACUCGAAGGCAGGAGAGGGUAGUGGAAUUCCCGGUGUAGUGGUGAAAUGCGUAGAUAUCAGGAGGAACACCAGUGGCGAAGGCGACUACCUGGCCUGUUCUUGACGCUGAGGCGCGAAAGCUAGGGGAGCAAACGGG
rnacentral:rRNA from 1 species